rnacentral:rRNA from 1 species
AUGUUAUCUGCCGUCCAAAGGACUAGGGGGGUCUUGGAAUCAAGAAUCUUGAAGUUAAGAACAGGUGCCUUCUCAGUAAGUGGCUGUAUAAGUUUUUCAGUUGAGACUGAGGCAACCUGGGCGCAGAUCCUCUGUAGCAAAUAUCUGCAUUCUAAGACUUUGUCGCAGGCGACAGUGAGACCGACUGACUCGCCGUUUUGGAAGGGGCUUAUGAGAGUCAAAGCUGCUUUCUUUAAUAGAACAAAGUUUAGUGUCGGUAAUGGCAACAAUACUCGCUUCUGGGAGGAUACUUGGCUUGGUGAAACGCCGUUGGCGCUUCAGUAUCCGUCCCUGUAUCGUAUUGUGCAGCGACGUGAUGCUCUGGUUGCAACGAUUUUGCAGGCCACUCCCCUUAAUAUUCAGUUUAGGAGGGUGCUUAUUGGCGACCGGUGGGAAGUAUGGCUUCAUUUGGUGAGUAGACGGAUGGAGGUUCAGCUCACUCAUCAGCUCGAUCAGUUGUGUUGGAAGCUUACUAGGUCUGGAGAAUUCACUGUCAAGUCAAUGUAUAUUGAUGUCAUCAACUCUAGUGUUAUUCCUAGCUCCAAACAUGUUUGGAAAGUCAAGGUUCCUUUGAAAAUUAAAGUGUUUAUGUGGUUUGUGCAUAAACAAGUCAUAUUAACAAAAGAUAAUUUGGUUAAGCGCAACUGGACAGGACCUACUAGGUGUAGUUUCUGUGAUCGGGACGAGACUAUCAAGCACCUUUUCUUUGAUUGCCUGUUGGCGAGAGUGUUGUGGCGCACG